AAAUGAGCGAAAGCUUUACUAUUAUCCAUAACACCUGUGAACUAUUUGCCUUCGGGCACACUACCAAACAUAAUGUAAUGAAUGUAAUCUACUAUAAUAAAUAUAACUUUCAACAACGGAUCUCUUGGCUCU
rnacentral:misc_RNA from 1 species